AUCACAUCCACUUCAAGAUUCCAAUCCUGAGAACACCUGUAGACAGAGCAGAAAGUCAUCACUGCCAUUGAAGAGAUGAAAAGGAGUGAGGAAAGAAGUAUACCUGUAAAGGCAUCCAUUGAGACGCUGUAUGACAACAAGGAAGACGGCAAGAGAGAGUGGCACGUGAAGUCAGUGACCGAGAUUGGCAAUAUGGGUGUUGGUGGUGUGGCAUCGAAGGAAAAAGGACUUAGUGGGCACCUUGACUACAGUUUGGGGAAGACUCAAUUAGACCUUGGUGGCGAGUUGAUGGUGGAGGGCAGGUUGCCCAAUGCCGGUGUUGCUGCUGGGAUAACUAACGAUGGAGUUAAAGCCAUGGCCACAGCUGAGCUCCUAGGUGCCUCUGUAUCCCACGGGAAGUUGACAGCCACAAUGCGUCUGGCAGCUGAUACAGGCUUUGGAGUAGGUAAGGAUGGGGUCGAGGCACAAUUUUUUGGUACAGGCUUCUCUAUCGGGAAGAAAACAUCAAUUUCUCUGUUUGGUACCAAGCUUGAAUGGGACUUCAGCAAGUGACACACCACCACUCAGAGCCCAGAGGUCCACUGCUUUGGAGAUGUAUUCACUCCACCUGAUUAGUUCUCAUAUAGCCUACAGAUAAGGCUUCAGGGCCACAGAUGUGCUUGGCUUCUUUUAUACUAAAAGAAAACAGCUUCAUGUAUUGUACUUAAUCAGUGGACUGUAUUUACAAUAUAUUCUUAUCAACUCUA